UGGGGAAUAUUGGACAAUGGGCGCAAGCCUGAUCCAGCCAUGCCGCGUGAGUGAUGAAGGCCCUAGGGUUGUAAAGCUCUUUUACCGGUGAAGAUAAUGACGGUAACCGGAGAAGAAGCCCCGGCUAACUUCGUGCCAGCAGCCGCGGUAAUACGAAGGGGGCUAGCGUUGUUCGGAUUUACUGGGCGUAAAGCGCACGUAGGCGGACUUUUAAGUCAGGGGUCAAAUCCCGGGGCUCAACCCCGGAACUGCCUUUGAUACUGGAAGUCUUGAGUAUGGUAGAGGUGAGUGGAAUUCCGAGUGUAGAGGUGAAAUUCGUAGAUAUUCGGAGGAACACCAGUGGCGAAGGCGGCUCACUGGACCAUUACUGACGCUGAGGUGCGAAAGCGUGGGGAGCAAACAGG
rnacentral:rRNA from 1 species